CGUGGCCAUGCUUCUAGGUGGUCAGUUGUUGGAUAUUUGACAACACCAUUUUCCUGUAGCUGUGAUUCAUCCAUAGUGGCCCAUGCUUUUGCCAUAGGCCCAAGAUCAUUCUAUGAUAUUGUUUUCAACUUGGUCACAGGGACAUGUGGAGUGGCAGUGUCCCAAUGACGGUACAAAUACUUGAGUUCCGGAGGUAGAUGAAUCAAGACCAUACUGUUGC